ensembl:lncRNA
GUGGUCAGAGGGAGACGUUACUAGGGAAGAUUGGUUAGAGGGAUGCAGCGAUGCUGGCUUUGGAGAUGGAGAAAGGGCCGUCUCCGGAAGCUGGAAAGGCAAGGAAAUGAAUCCUUCCGCGGACCCUUCAGCAGGGGAGCAGGCCUGUUGACACCCUGAUUUUAGCCCUGGAAGACCUGUGUCAGACUUCUGACCUACAGAACUCCAUUUCAGGUGACCAGCCACAGAGCAGAAUGCUCCAAGCUCUGCAGGACUUUAAAGGACCAAAUUACAUCUGUAUUCACAAAAGAUUUGUGGAAGUGCAAGUCACGAGCUUUGAAGAACAAUGACUGUGAGGGUGGGUACACGGUGCUCUGCUCUGGGUCUCGUUUCCCAGCUUGUUUUGCUGUUGUUAUAGUUGAUUUUAGAGUGAAGCGCUUGGUUUAUUACUGGGCAACUGAACUAACUCAGAGGUGGAUUAAUGCUCACUGUGCUUGCUGACAUGGAAUAAAGCUUAAUUUUCUGAAGAAGCCACUACCAUUGAUAUGAAAUGGCAUUCUAGUGACAUUUUCUCCUCCGAAGUUGGUGCUGCUGCCUGUGUUCUGAAAUUUCGUCUGAGGGUCAGUGGGCCAGUGCUCAACAGAGGUUGGGAAUAAUGAAACAUCCGGGGUGCCAUCAUCAAUUUCAAGUUCAAACCUGAUGCAUUUUCAUUUAAAAGAGGACUUCUGGCUCUCCACAAAUGAAUAAUUAGUGUCUCACUCCUUUAAGGACAAGAAAAAAUGUUUUUAUUUUUCUACCUUGUCAUUGAGUGUUUGGUGGUGGAAUUCUCAAAAUUAUUUUGAAUUUGUGGAAAGGACAUUUACUUAUUUGCAUGCUGAGUCAUUUUCCCCUGGAAAUUGAAAUCAAUUUAACAGGAAUUUUAUAGGUCUGGGCAUAUUUUAGAUGAGUAUCACUAAAGAUGAUGUUUUUAUGUGACUACAUUCAUGACUCUGUGACUCAGAACAAGAGGUGUUUGUUGCUGAGACUGUCCCCUAGCUGCUGGUCUGACAAGGUCAGGAUGAUAGGAUGCCUCCUGCACAGUAGUGGGGCAGUAGUGGGCAAUAGUUCCAGGCAGGAAAUAACAGUGCCAUUCAUGGUGAACUUCCAUUAUUUUGUUUCCCAGGUGAGUGAAGUAAUCAUGACACACUAAUGAAUAAAACAAAGCUCAGGGAUGGAAAGAUUCCGAAUAUUUAGAUAAAAAGUGAAAUGUGCACUUAAUUACCCAGCUACUUUUAAAUACACAGUCAGAUGUGAAGGGUCAUGCAGACAAAAUGUUUGAGUUGAUCUAUUUGUUUUUUUUGUGGGUGUAAUUUUAACAAGGCAAAACGAUAAAUAUUUUUAUUGAUUCUGCUGUUGAUUAACAGUUUCUCUUUUUGGUAAAUACAGAUUAUUUGUGAAACGCCCAAACUACUGAGGACCCCAAAUGAUGAGUUCUUUUUAUAAUCUUCAGUGCUCCCCAUCACUCACUCCAUUUUUCCAAUUUAAAUAUCUUAAGAAUUUUCCUAGAAAGUCCAGUUUAUGAAAAAAACAAAAAACUGCUAAAGCUCCAAAAUAAUUAGCAACUUCACUAUUUAAGUUCAAUUACUUUAAAAUCUAAUUCAUCAAUACUAGGAAAACUUGCUCUGAGUUGUUCUAAAAAAAGAAUUUGAACACUGGCAGCUGCAAACUGAUUCAGCUUCAGGAUCUAGAACC